AUGAGCAGAUCUUUAUGAAGCUUCUGAAUGGCAGCAGGCACUGAGCAAUGUUCAGCCAUGUUAGAUGUUAAUAGGACUGGCAGGUGCUUCAUAGAUCUUCAGUAGCGACUGGCUCUCACACGGAUGGGCGUUUGCUGCUUGCUGUGUUGUUGAGAACCGUGAAUGCUGGGGUAAGAGAGUUGUGUUUGGGCAGCAAUCUACAGAGAAGAGACAUCCAAGGUGGUGGGCUCGUGGAUGGAAACCUCAGCUCUGACAGAGGCCUGGAUGUCUUGGCCCAACUCAGAAAGUGAGAAGAACCUGGGUUUGCCUGGCACCAGAGGGUCGGGCCUGGACUCCUGCUGGAAUCAGGCAGCAGUGCACCUGGUCAACUGUACACAUGAAGAGGAGUGAGAGCCCUGCAGUUCCCAGACCCUGGAGCAGCUGCCAGCCUGGGGCCGCUGAAGCACAAGCCAGAAGAACAAGCCUCAUGCCAGGAUACCCCGAGAGGAACUCCAGGGCACAGGUGGUCUUGGGAGGAGCUGGGGAGGAGCAGACACUUGCAAACCUGAGGCCCAGCUAGGACAAGCCAAGGCAGAGAAGCUAACCAAGCCGGACACCCCCUGGCUGUCAAUCUGUCCUGGUCAGGACCAGAGGGGCCGCUUCCAGCCACUGCCUGCUGGGUCCAUUCAAAUUCUAACCUACAAUCCUGAAUUUCAGAUGCUAACUCAAGACAGAAAGGUGGAAAAUUAAGGGGCAUGAGGAAGGGAGGAAGCCCCUCACCCUGGGACCCAGGCUGCCUUCCUGCUGACUGAGUGUCAAGAAACUUCAACAUAACCAAUAAAAUCAAGUUGCCUAUA